GGGUAAUUGGCGUAGUGGGCAAAGCCUUGGCUUGCUAAGCCGAAGGUCCCGGGUUCGAUUCCCGGUUGGGUCC
rfam:Habropoda laboriosa contig15842, whole genome shotgun sequence.